rnacentral:rRNA from 1 species
AUCCANGAGGCAGCAGGCGCGCAAAUUACUCAAUGUCAAUUCGACGAAGUAGUGACGAGAAAUAACAGUGGGGUGGGCUCAGCCUACUCUUUCUGUAAUGAGAGCAAUCUAAAACCCUCAUCGAGGAUCAACUGGAGGGCAAGUCUGGUGCCAGCAGCCGCGGUAACUCCAGCUCCGGUAGCGUGUAUUAAAGUUGUUGCAGUUAAAAAGCUCGUAGUUGAAGUAUUGGUAGGACGGACCAGGCCUUUUGACGAAUGUCGACUGUUGCUUUGCGUUUGAUCUGGCCAUCGUUGUCCGUUUGCGCUCUUUGUGGGCGUGGGUGGGCAUCAUUUACUGUAAAAAAAUUAGAGUGUUUCAAGCAAAUCGUAUGGUUGGAAUAGAGUAGUAUGGAAUAAUAAGAUAGGACUUUGUUGCUAUUUUGUUGGUUUGCACAUCAAAGUAAUGAUUAACAGGGACAGUUGGGGGUAUUCGUAUUUGGUUGUCAGAGGUGAAAUUCUUGGAUUUACAAAAGACGAACAACUGCGAAAGCAUUUACCAAGGAUGUUUUCAUUAAUCAAGAACGAAAGUUAGGGGAUCGAAGAUGAUU